rnacentral:tRNA from 1 species
GCGGGUGUAGCUCAGUUGGUUAGAGUGCCGGCCUGUCACGCCGGAGGUCGCGGGUUCGAUCCCCGUCACUCGCGCCA